CGCGGGCCCCCUGGAGCAGCGCAAGUUCCUCUCAGAGGCCCAGCCCUACAGGAGCCUACACCACCCCAACGUCCUCCAGUGCCUGGGGCUGUGCGCCGAGACCCUGCCCUUCCUUCUCAUCAUGGAGUUCUGCCAGCUGGGAGAUCUGAAGCGCUACCUGCGGGCCCAGCGGCCCCCCGACGGCCUCUCCCCAGAGCUGCC